CCGACGUGGACAGCAGCAGUUCUGUCUGUCCUGGUGGCGUAUGGGAGCGUCAGCUCCGGCCGGGACGUACAUUCCCGUUCCACGCCGUCGGACAGCAAGCUGGUCCCCGGCCCUGGGCCGGGAGGACCAGCGUCCUGCAUAUUCCUACAACUUCCCAGAGUCCUCCGGGGCCGUGACUGGGGAGGAAAACCAUGCAGGACACAGAU